rnacentral:rRNA from 1 species
AUUGAACGCUGGCGGCAGGCCUAACACAUGCAAGUCGAGCGAGUGGCGGACGGGUGAGUAAUGUCUGGGAACCUGCCUGAUGGAGGGGGAUAACUACUGGAAACGGUAGCUAAUACCGCAUACCAUCGGAUGUGCCCCUAUGGGAUUAGCUAGUAGGUGGGGUAAAGGCUCACCUAGGCGACGAUCCCUAGCUGGUCUGCGAGGAUGACCAGCCACACUGGGACUGAGAAACGGUCCAGAAUCCUACGGGAGGCAGCAGUGGGGAAUAUUGCACAAUGGGCGCAAGCCUGAUGCAGCCAUGCCGCGUGUAUGAAGAAGGCCUUAGGGUUGUAAAGUACUUUCAGCGGGGAGGCGUUACCCGCAGAAGAAGCACCGGCUAACUCCGUGCCAGCAGCCGCGGUAAUUC